AAAUUGAAGAGUUUGAUCAUGGCUCAGAUUGAACGCUGGCGGCAGGCCUAACACAUGCAAGUCGAACGGUAGCACAGAGAGCUUGCUCUCGGGUGACGAGUGGCGGACGGGUGAGUAAUGUCUGGGAAACUGCCCGAUGGAGGGGGAUAACUACUGGAAACGGUAGCUAAUACCGCAUAACGUCGCAAGACCAAAGA
rnacentral:rRNA from 1 species